UAUGAAUAGAGAAACAUUGGUGAAACAAUACAGACUACACAAGUUAUCCAAACCUUUUUAAUUUUAUUAAUUGAAGUUUGCUUCAUUAAUACUAAAUCCCAUAAACCAGUAUGUCCAUUUGAGAGUAACAUGGAUUUUAUAAAAUAGUCAUCGAAUAUGAGAUAUUGAUGCUAACUAGAUUUUCAUCUCAAAAAGCAAUAAAAAUGAACCAAAAAUAUAAAACGCAAAAGGAG
rnacentral:lncRNA from 1 species